GACGAACGCUGGCGGCGUGCUUAACACAUGCAAGUCGAACGGAAAGGCCCUGCUUUUGUGGGGUGCUCGAGUGGCGAACGGGUGAGUAACACGUGAGUAACCUGCCCUUGACUUUGGGAUAACUUCAGGAAACUGGGGCUAAUACCGGAUAGGAGCUCCUGCUGCAUGGUGGGGGUUGGAAAGUUUCGGCGGUUGGGGAUGGACUCGCGGCUUAUCAGCUUGUUGGUGGGGUAGUGGCUUACCAAGGCUUUGACGGGUAGCCGGCCUGAGAGGGGGACCGGCCACAUUGGGACUGAGAUACGGCCCAGACUCCUACGGGAGGCAGCAGUGGGGAAUAUUGCACAAUGGGCGGAAGCCUGAUGCAGCAGCGCCGCGUGCGGGAUGACGGCCUUCGGGUUGUAAACCGCUUUCGCCUGUGACGAAGCGUGAGUGACGGUAAUGGGUAAAGAAGCACCGGCUAACUACGUG
rnacentral:rRNA from 1 species